AUGUUGAAACACUGGUUCUCAUGCUAUCACCGUAGUUAAGCAACAAUGAGCCUGGUCAGUACCUUGAUGGGUAACCAUUUGAGAAUACCAAGU